rnacentral:lncRNA from 1 species
GAAUUUUUAUUUCAAUAAAAUAAUUCAUUGACAGUUUCUUUUAUAAUUACAAAAAAGAUUUUUUUCUGCUUACCAAAAAUAAUGCAAAUUGACUUGAAUUUAAAUAUUACAGAAAUUUAGAAAUGUUAAAAAAUCCCUUGAUUUCCAAAAUCUACUGUUAAUAGUUUGGCACACAUCCCUGCCAAUUUAUUUUUUACCCUCAGCAUGUUAUUUUCUCUUUAUAAAAACUCUUCAAACAAAAAUUGGGAUGAAGCUGAUGGGGAAAUGUUGAACAGCAUGGAUGCCCUUAGGAAGAUGGAGGAACCAGAGGUCCUGAGAUGUGGUCAAGGGGAUGGAUGCAUUUCUUACUGCUCACUCAGGCUCUGACCAUCACAAGAGACUGUGAUGAAAAUUGAAAUUCCAAGCCUUUUUUCAGCACUUUAGAAGUGGGGCUGGGGGGAAGCUUAUCUGAUUUUAUUUUCAAACCUUGAUACUUAUGUUUAUGAAAAAAUAUAUUUUUCUUUUAAAACUUUACAGGGAUUUCAUAAAGAAUAAGUUUUCUAAGUUUAUGCUUAGUCAUAUCCAUUUACUAGGUUGAAAGCCUCUAAUUUUUUUUCUUUUGUUUUUCAAUUUCCAAUUCAAAAAUAAUAGGAUUUUUUUUUUUUUUUUGUACCAAGGAUUGAGCCCAGGGGUGCUUAACCACUGAGCCACAUCCCUAGCCCUUUUUAUUUUUAAUUUUUAGACAGGUUCUUGCUAAGUUGCUUUGAACUUGCGAUACUCCUGCUUCAGCCUCUUAAGCUGCUGGGGUUAUAGGUGUGCACCUGGCAAAAGAUUACAUUUGGAAGAGCAUGACUAGACUUUAAAACUUUCUCAAAUGUAGCUAGCUUUUUGAGAGUUAAGAUAAAAUAUAGGGGGCUGGGAGUGUGGUUCAGUAGUAGAGCAUUUCCCCAGCAUGUAUGAUGUUGGGGGUUUGAUUUCCAGCAUUGUGGAAAAAAAUAAAAUGCAGUAGAUAAGAAAGCAAAUGGAGGGGUAAGGUGGGGGUAUUCAUUACAGAAUAAAUGCGUGAGCAACUACUUUUAGCUCUAUGAACUUAAUGCUUUUUGAUAUGAAAAGAACACUUGAACAGAAUACUUGACAAAAAGAAUGAACAGUAUUUGGGGAAAGCCUCAAAUGAGCCAAUAUUUAUGAAAAAUGUGGAAAACAACAAAAAGGAUUUUUAAAGUUAAAUCCAAAGCUUGAAGAACUAUGUUCAUUGUUUGAAGUAUUUGGUGUGUUAUUAAAUAAGAAAAUAGCUAUUCAUCUAUUUAAUCUUAAGUUGUAUCAUAUUUAUAAAAACCUAAGAGCCUGCAAUAGC